GGUCAAUGAUGUCCUAAACUACGAUUUAAUUCGAAUUACUGUGAGAUAAAAUCAUAUAUGCAACUGAGACA
rnacentral:snoRNA from 13 species